AAAAGUCUCCUUACUUCAUUACCUGUGCAGUAACAGAAAAAGAUUUUGGUAAGUCCUUCUCUUGCUCUGAUACAAGAUCCAGGGUUGAACAAGCUAUUUAUGCAUGUAAAUUGUGUGCUUCAAUUUAUAGUUCCUUUGAUUUGCACCUUUCUAAGGAGAGACUCUAGACGCACAUAUCAAAACCUCAGAAUUAAUUAAAAAAUGCAUUCUUCACAAAAUUUAUGAAUUUAUACAUAAGAAAAGGUUAAUUUCGGUUGGAAGUUGCGAUAAACACAUUCCCAACAAUGCUGCAUAAUGGGAAGGAAAUAGAUUCAUUUCUCCAUGG
rnacentral:misc_RNA from 1 species